GCAUGCGUAGGGAGGGACGAAAAAAACAGGCUUAUAGGAGAAUAGGCUAGGCAUGCUGAGCUAGGUAGACGGAUAGCUGGAAUUGAGAAGUUGAAGGUUGAAGACAAUAAAGAGAUACAUACGUACAUAUGUAUGUAUGUAAAUUAUAUACAACUCCAAUAAGUGUUAAGUAGAGCUUAUAAGAAUAUUAUGAAAUGCGAAUUCGAAUAAGUAAGCGAGAAAAUUUACCUUAACUGGCAGAGUGUGGGCUUUUAAUUGCAUAUAAUAACAGUACGAAAUUCGAAUUCGAUAUCGAAAUAUAACAGUGUUUGCUAAACUAUAGCCAAGAUUAUCCCAAAAAGGCAGACAGUGGGCUUUUAGUUCAUAUGAAUAGUACGAAAUUCCAGCUCGAAUAUGAUCCAUGUAUUUACAUACAUAUGUAUGUAUGUAUGUAUAUUUAUACUAAAUAAAAUAGAGGUCAAUAGACACAUUGAAGGCUGGUUCUGGCCAGGUGCUCAAGCAAAGCCAAGCGAGUCAGAUCUGGCCUGGGCGGAAGUAUCAGCUACAUGACGAACAUCAGCAACAACAACAAAAACAAUAACAACAACAACAGCAGCAAUAAUGAUGACAGCAUUUAACGCGUCGUAUGAGCAAUACGAAAAUGGCAAAAAACCUCUAAAACUUGCUUCCUACUUCUAGAGACUAUUUAAAGCGAGUGCGAGAGAGCGAGAGAGAGAGAGAAGGAGACAUACUGCGUUCGUGCGUGUGCAAAGAAGGGCAGGACAGGUUUUCGAGCCAGCUAGAGCCAGCGUAGCUGCUGCUGGGACCCUGUGCCUUUAGCAUAACCUUGAACUUCAAAAAAGCACGUACGAGCAGCUUGUUAAUAGGCCUACCUGCCAGACGAGCAAAACAUACAUACGCAUGUAUGCAUGUGUGUGUGUGUGUAUGUAUGUAUUUAAAUUAGCGCAUGUGUGUGACUGGAACAUUGAUAAAAGCGACGCGAGCUACUUAAUAUCAUUAUACAUAAAGAGAGCGAGUUAUAUAGGCGCAAAAAUAUAUACAUACAUCAAAAAGAAAAAAAAAACGUUCCAAGAAACCCAAAGCUCAAGACUGGACGACGAUUGGUCAAGAGCAAAGUCAAUGAACUUGCCAAAAUUAUAUAAAAACAAAAUAUAUACGCAAAAAAAAGAAAA